AUACGUAGGGGGCAAGCGUUACUCGGAUUUACUGGGCGUAGCGAAUGUAGGCUGUUAUGUAAGUCAGUGGUGAAAUCCCUCAGCUCAACUGAGGAACUGCCUUUGAUACUGCAUGACUUGAGGACAGGAGAGGAAAGUGGAAUUCCCGGUGUAGCGGUGGAAUGCGUAGAUAUCGGGAGGAACACCAGAGGCGAAGGCGGCUUUCUGGACUGGUCCUGACGCUCAGAUUCGAAAGCUAGGGUAGCAAACAGGAUUAGAAACCCCAGUAGUCC
rnacentral:rRNA from 1 species